UACGUAGGUGGCAAGCGUUGUCCGGAGUUAUUGGGCGUAAAGCGCGCGCAGGCGGUCUUUUAAGUCUGGUGUAUAAACCAAGGGCUCAACCUUUGGACGCAUUGGAAACUGGGAGACUGGAGUGUAGGAGAGGAAAGUGGAAUUCCACGUGUAGCGGUGAAAUGCGUAGAGAUGUGGAGGAACACCAGUGGCGAAGGCGACUUUCUGGCCUAUAACUGACGCUGAGGCGCGAAAGCGUGGGGAGCAAACAGG
rnacentral:rRNA from 1 species